AUUCUCAGUUCGGAUUGUAGGCUGAAACUCGCCUACAUGAAGCUGGAGUUACUAGUAAUCGCAGAUCAGAAUGCUGCGGUGAAUGCGUUCCCGGGUCUUGUACACACCGCCCGUCACACCACGGGAGUCGGAAAUGCCCGAAGUCAGUGACCCAACCGUAAGGAGGGAGCUGCCGAAGGUGGAGCCGGUAACUGGGGUGAAGUCGUAACAAGGUACC
rnacentral:rRNA from 1 species